UCGGGACGCUCGAUAGGCCGCGUCAGCCUCGGACGCCAGGGGAGCUGCCCGCCUUGCGGCUGGCGGUGGCUGCGUCGGCGGUGCGCCCUGACGGAUGCCGCUGAGCUGAGCCGCGUGACUCAAGGGCCGUGCUACUCACUGAGAGCCAUCAGCCAUCAGCAGCUAGCGAGCACUUGAAAAUGUGACUGAGAAACGGCAGUUUUUGGUGAUGAAGAAGGAGAUCUGAUGCUGACUGCUAACAGACUAUGGGACAAGGAGAUGAACCUGCUAAAACCCUCAAGCUCACUGUUCCUCAUUAUUGCUAGAGGCCAAGGGACUAUCGCCAUCACUUGUUACCUCUACAGUCUUGAAGUGAAUCAGGUGGCUUAGCACGUGUGAUUCUGCGGCUACCAAGAUGUUGGUGUGGAGACCUACUCUGGCGAUCCCUGUGAUUCUGUUUGGAGGACUGUUCAUACCAUUCCUGGUGCUUGAAUCGGACGUCAACACGACCUUGUUCUCACUCCUUGGGAGACAGAACGCAGUCACUGCUCGGGCACCCCUGAAUAAUGUGUUUGCCUGCCGCUCUCCAGACUUCCAGGAAGCUCAUCCGUCUACCGGUACUUAUGAUAUCCAUUCUAAUGACAUUCUGGUUUCAUUGGUUGCUGAACUCUUCAACAACAAAUAGAAAAAUAUGAAAAUAACUCAUGUAAGCUGUGAACAACUAAUUGAGAGUGAUAAAUUUGAGUAUGGGAAAUUAGUUCCCAAAUAGUAAAUAAAAGCUAUUUUGUUUUUUCCAGUUGUACUGAGAUGUAAUUGACAUCCAGCACUGUAUAACUUCGAGGUGCACGGCAUAAUUAUUUGACCGAUUUAUACUGUGAAACGAUCGCCACAAUAAGCUUAGUUAAUUAACAUCCAUCAUCUCCUGUAGGUACCGAAAAGGGAGAAACAAAAGGUUUUUUUUUUCCUCUUGAGUAAAGAAAGCUGUUUUAAUAAGGUGUUCUCUAGAAAGUCGGUUUUGGUUUAACAUCUUGAUAAACAAAGGUCAGUCAGAGUUGAGUCAGGUUUCUUCUAAACUCUAAUCUUAUUUGUUUGAGGAGCAGUUGGCUCAGGUUGUUGGGAAGUUUUACAAGGCUCAUAAAGUAACCUCGCCCUGAGCCUUUGGCGGCCGGCUAUCCAAGUGCAUGCAAGUCUGUAAUGUUUUCACAGCAGAAUCCUGCGCUUUGAGUGAUGUCGCCCUUUGCUGGAGUUCUCAGCUGUGUGUCUCUUCCACUUGGUUGCAACUAAUUUCACUGAUCAGUAGCUUUGGCUUAGCUUUACCCUCAUAAAUUUAAUAAUUCACUUGGCAGGUGCAGAGCAGGCAGAUCUCAAAAAAAAAAAAGUGCAGGUUCUUGGGAAAGCCGGGGAAAGGACUCCCUGAUUUUUUUAUUUGCUUUUAGA